rnacentral:rRNA from 1 species
UACGUAGGUGGCAAGCGUUAUCCGGAUUUAUUGGGCGUCAAGGGAACGCAGGCGGUCUUUUAAGUCUGAUGUGAAAGCCUUCGGCUUAACCGGAGUAGUGCAUUGGAAACUGGGAGACUUGAGUGCAGAAGAGGAGAGUGGAACUCCAUGUGUAGCGGUGAAAUGCGUAGAUAUAUGGAAGAACACCAGUGGCGAAAGCGGCUCUCUGGUCUGUAACUGACGCUGAGGUUCGAAAGCGUGGGUAGCAAACAGG